AAGAAAAUAACAAUGAUUCCCCUAGUAACGGCGAGUGAAGAGGGAAAAGCUCAAGUUUGGAAGCUUCGUGGCAUAGCUACGACGCGUUGUAAACUGAAGUUUUUUGGGUGACUGGGCGACCGAAUAAAUAAGUCCUUUGGAAAGGGGCAACAUAGAGGGUGACAUUCCCGUCUUUGGUUCGAGUCAGUUCAGUCGCUGCCCAGGAAACGACGAGUCAGGUUGUUUGGGAAUGCAGCCUAAAAUGGGAGGUAAAUCUCUCCUAAAGCUAAAUACUGGCGUAAGACCGAUAGCGAACAAGUACCGUGAGGGAAAGAUGAAAAGGACUUUGAAAAGAGGGUCAAAUAGUACGUGAAAUUGUUGAAAGGGAACCGUAUGAAAGUAGACUGGCCUGGAGAUGAUCAAUGUGUGUCUCGGCACGCAUGCACUCAUUUCCGUGUGCCAGCCAGCGGCAGUUUUUGCUAAAGGAAGAAAAUUAGGGGAAUGUGGCUUCAACUUCGGUUGAAGUGUUAUAGCUCCUAGUAAAAUACUUUGGCAGAGACUGAGGCUAGCAGUGGGUCUUUGGGAACUUUGCGCGCUUGUCGUUUACAAGGCUAGUUUUCUUCGGAUGCUCGUUUUUUAAAUGGCAACUCGUGUGAUGCUUCACCCUCCCGCUUAGGUCGCUGGCGUAAUGCUUUUAUA
rnacentral:rRNA from 1 species